rnacentral:rRNA from 1 species
AGGCAGCAGUGGGGAAUAUUGCACAAUGGGCGAAAGCCUGAUGCAGCGACGCCGCGUGAGGGAUGACGGCCUUCGGGUUGUAAACCUCUUUCAGCAGGGAAGAAGCGAAAGUGACGGUACCUGCAGAAGAAGCGCCGGCUAACUACGUGCCAGCAGCCGCGGUAAUACGUAGGGCGCAAGCGUUGUCCGGAAUUAUUGGGCGUAAAGAGCUCGUAGGCGGCUUGUCACGUCGGUUGUGAAAGCCCGGGGCUUAACCCCGGGUCUGCAGUCGAUACGGGCAGGCUAGAGUUCGGUAGGGGAGAUCGGAAUUCCUGGUGUAGCGGUGAAAUGCGCAGAUAUCAGGAGGAACACCGGUGGCGAAGGCGGAUCUCUGGGCCGAUACUGACGCUGAGGAGCGAAAGCGUGGGGAGCGAACAGGAUUAGAUACCCUGGUAGUCCACGCCGUAAACGGUGGGCACUAGGUGUGGGCAACAUUCCACGUUGUCCGUGCCGCAGCUAACGCAUUAAGUGCCCCGCCUGGGGAGUACGGCCGCAAGGCUAAAACUCAAAUGAAUUGACGG